GUUUUACUGAAGUCUCUGAACAGACUUUCAGCUUUCCCUGUCUGUACAGCUUGCACAAACAACAGGUGUCAGCUUUUCACUGUUAAAAGUCUUAGCAAAUGAGGUACUUGCCACUUCUGCUGAAGAGACAAAACAGAGCCCAGAGACGUAGCAGUCCUGCAUCUUUAUCCUAAAUUGUUACUCAAAGCUGAGGACCACCUCGAUGAGACUGUCCAUCUUCUCAGGCUAUUGUGUCCUCUAUGAUACAUUACACUCCAUGACAUGGCAGUGCCACACUACCAAUUGGUAUUAAUAUGUACAGAAGACCUUGUGAAUUAAAUAUAGAAUGACUGUUGAGUUUUCAAGACAACAGGAAAAACAGAGAUAAGGAAACCACCUUACUCAUCCUUUUUUGGUUACUUUUGAGAAUUUGCAUCUUACUGUUGCUUUUAUAUUUGGAAGAUUUUUCAGGCACACUUCAUAAAAUCAACA
rnacentral:lncRNA from 1 species